CCUGCGGAAGGAUCAUUAUUGAAUGAACUUGGUGUGGUUGUUGCUGGCUCUCUUGUGGGGGCAUGUGCACACCCGCCAUCCUCAUCUCUCCACCUGUGCACCUCUUGUAGACCUGGAUGAAUUUUCCGAGGUAACUCGGUCGGGAGGAAUGCUGCGCUCUUUGCGUCGGCUUUCUUUGCACUUCCAAGCCUACGUUUUUUUCAUAUACCCGUAGUAUGUAACAGAAUGUAUCAUUGGGCCUAAGUGCCUAUAAACCUUAUACAACUUUCAGCAACGGAUCUCUUGGCUCUCGCAUCGAUGAAGAACGCAGCGAAAUGCGAUAAGUAAUGUGAAUUGCAGAAUUCAGUGAAUCAUCGAAUCUUUGAACGCACCUUGCGCUCCUUGGUAUUCCGAGGAGCAUGCCUGUUUGAGUGUCAUUUAAUUCUCAACCUUAUUAGCUUUUGUUGAUAAUGGCUUGGAUGUGGGGGUUUUCUUUUGCUGGCUUUCUUCGGAUGUCAGCUCCCCUUAAAUGUAUUAGCCGGUGCCCUGCGUGGACUAUCCGUUGGUGUGAUAAUUAUCUACGCCGUUGGAUGUCUGCAAAUAGGUUUUGCACCGCUUCUAACUGUCUGUUCAUUUGGACAAUACAUGACAAUUGACCUCAAAUCAGG
rnacentral:rRNA from 1 species